rnacentral:rRNA from 1 species
GUUCGAUCUGGCUCAGAUUGAACGCUGGCGGGAUGCUUUACACAUGCAAGUCGAACGGCGGCACGGACUUCGGUCUGGUGGCGAAAUUGGCGAACGGGUGAGUAAUGUAUCGGAACGUGCCUAGUAGCGGGGAUAUGCGAAAGCGUAGCUAAUACCGCAUACGCCCUUCGGGGAAAGCGGGGGACCUUCGGGCCUCGCACUAUUAGAGCAGCCGAUAUCGGAUUAGCUAGUUGGUGAGGUAACGGCUCUACCAAGGCGACGAUCCGUAGCUGGUUUGAGAGGACGACCAGCCACACUGGGACUGAAGGACACGGCCCAGACUCCUACGGGAGGCAGCAGUGGGGCCUGGACAAUGGGGGGGAAACCCUGAUCCAGCCAUCCCGCGUGUGCGAUGAAGGCCUUCGGGUUGUAAAGCACUUUUGGCAGGAAAGAAACGGCACGGGAUAAUACCCGUGCAACUGACAGUACCUGCAGAAUAGCACCAGUAACCACGUGCCAGCAGCGGUAAUACGCUGGGUGCAAGCGUUAAUCAGAUUACUGGGCGUAAAGCGUGCGCCGGCGGUUCGGAAAGAAGAUGUGAAAUCCCAGAGCUUAACUUUGCGGAACUGCAUUUUUAACUACCGAGCUAGAGUGUGUCAGAGGGAGGUGGAAUUCCGCGUGUAGCAGUGAAAUGCGUAGAUAUGCGGAGAGGAACACCGAUGGCGAAGGCAGCCUCCUGGGAUAACACUGACGCUCAUGCGAAAGCGUGGGGGAACCGACAGGAUUAGAUACCUGGUAGUCCACGCCUAAACGAUGUCAACUAGCUGUUGGGGCCUUCAGACGCCCGGUAGCGCAGCUAACGCGUGAAGUUGACCGCCUGGGGAUACGGUCGCAAGAUUAAAAAACUCAAAGGAAUUGACGGGACCCGCGCACAAGCGGUGGAUGAUGUGGAUUAAUUCGAUGCAACGCGAAAAACCUUACCUACCGCCGGUAUGUCCUGAGAUCCCGAGAGAUUUGAGAGUGCUCGCAAGAGAACCGGAACACAGGUGCUGCAUGGCUGUCAUCGCUCAUCAUCAGUGGGAUGUUGGGUUGAUCCCGCAACGAGCGCAACCCUUGUCAUUAGUUGCUACGAAAGGGUACUCUAAUGAGACUGCCGGUGGCAAACCCGGAGGAGGAAGUGGGGAUGACGUGGAUCCUCAUGGCCCAUAUGGGUAGGGCUUCACACGUCAUACAAUGGUGGGACAGAGGGUCGCCAACCCACGAGGGAGCCAAUCCCAGAAACCCGAUCGUAGUCCGGAUCGCAGUCUGCAACUCGACUGCGUGAAGUCGGAAUCGCUAGUAAUCGCGGAUCAGCAUGUCGCGGUGAAUACGUUCCCGGGUCUUGUACACACCGCCCGUCACACCAUGGGGUGGGUUUUACCAGAAGUAGUUAGCCUAACCGUAAGGAGGGCGAUUACCACGGUAGGAUUCGCGGUAAGGGUGAAGUCGUAAUAAAGGC